rnacentral:rRNA from 1 species
GACGAGCGUCACAAACGUUAUUCGGAAUUACUGGGCUUAAAGGGUGCGUAGGCGGUGUAGCAAGUCGGGAGUGAAAUCCCGCAGCUCAACUGCGGAAUUGCUUUCGAUACUGCUGCGCUUGAGUGAGAUAGAGGUAAGCGGAACUUAGGGUGGAGCGGUGAAAUGCGUUGAUAUCCUAAGGAACACCGGUGGCGAAGGCGGCUUACUGGGUCUCUACUGACGCUGAUGCACGAAAGCCAGGGUAGCGAACGGG